rnacentral:rRNA from 1 species
AUGUAAAAUGACUAUCGGCAACGGAUAUCUCGGCUCUUGCAUCGAUGAAGAACGUAGCGAAAUGCGAUACUUGGUGUGAAUUGCAGAAUCCCGUGAACCAUCGAGUCUUUGAACGCAAGUUGCGCCCAAAGCCAUUAGGCUGAGGGCACGCCUGCCUGGGUGUCACAC